UAGAUGGCGACCGGCGCACGGGUGAGUAACACGUAUCCAACCUGCCGAUAACUCGGGGAUAGCCUUUCGAAAGAAAGAUUAAUACCAUGGUAUAAUCAGACCGCAUGGUUUGAUUAUUAAAGAAUUUCGGUUAUCGAUGGGGAUGCGUUCCAUUAGGCAGUUGGUGAGGUAACGGCUCACCAAACCUUCGAUGGAUAGGGGUUCUGAGAGGAAGGUCCCCCACAUUGGAACUGAGACACGGUCCAA
rnacentral:rRNA from 1 species